UACGGGGGGGGCAAGCGUUGUUCGGAAGUUACUGGGCGUAAAGCGUACGCAGGCGGCACGUUAAGUCGGGUGUGAAAGCCCGGGGGCUUUAACCUCGGAAUGGCAUUCAAUACUGCUUCGCUCGAGUACUGGAGAGGAGGCUGGAAUUUACGGUGUAGCGGUGAAAUGCGUAGAUAUCGUAAGGAAGCCAGUGGCGAAGGCGGGUCUCUGGACAGUUCCUGACGGCUGAGGCACGAAGGCCAGGGGAGCAAACGGG
rnacentral:rRNA from 1 species